AACGAACGCUGGCGGCAUGCCUAACACAUGCAAGUCGAACGAGACCUUCGGGUCUAGUGGCGCACGGGUGCGUAACGCGUGGGAACCUGCCUUUAGGUUCGGAAUAACUCAGAGAAAUUUGAGCUAAUACCGGAUGAUGUCUUCGGACCAAAGAUUUAUCGCCUUUAGAUGGGCCCGCGUUGGAUUAGCUAGUUGGUGGGGUAAAGGCCUACCAAGGCGACGAUCCAUAGCUGGUCUGAGAGGAUGAUCAGCCACACUGGGACUGAGACACGGCCCAGACUCCUACGGGAGGCAGCAGUGGGGAAUAUUGGACAAUGGGCGAAAGGCUGAUACAGCAAUGCCGCGUGAGUGAUGAAGGCCUUAGGGUUGUAAAGCUCUUUUACCCGAGAUGAUAAUGACAGUACCGGGAGAAUAAGCACCGGCUAACUCCGUG
rnacentral:rRNA from 1 species